ACUUAGAAAUCUUCUUUCUAAUUAUCAAGAAGAAAAAUUAAAUUUUGGUAAUAAUCACUAAGUUCUAUCGUAAAACCUUCUUUCUAAUUACAUUAUAUACCAAGAAGAAAAAUUAGCUUUUCGACGAGCUAGGUCAAUUAAUAAUAAUUACCGUGCCAUUCUAAAAACUUACAAACCUUCUUUUAAUUAAUUUACACUGUAUACUCGAACGCACUUCUCACGAUCUCUCUUGGAUCAUCAACCAAUCGCUCAACCGAUGGUCAUUACCAAUGUUUGUUUUACAACCAAUCAGAGUUCACGUUCCUUUCGAACGGUUGAAUGGUUCGUUACGUUCGGUGUGUCGUUAAUCGAUAUCAUUCCAACGCGAGAGAGCGUGCCGAUUAAUUAGAACGACGAGAUGAUCCGCUCACGCGGCACGGAGAAACGAGGAAGCGAGCCAUCCUCGAGGAUGAUGUGGAACCAGGAAGCAGCCGGGACGAUACGAUCAAAGCCUGAUAAUUCCGACGGAACGGUUCGCCUCUUCGAUCGUUCUUCUAUUGAAAACGAGACCUCAAUUUGCUUCUUGCUAUGUGUUAAUAGCUUCUUCUGUAAUGGCUUCCUCGGACGGUGUUUAAGGGAAAAAAGUGUUGUUAGCUUGGUUAUGUGAGUUUGUAUUGGUUAAUUAUUAACAUUAAAAAAAGAAGUGGAAAAAGAUUAUGCAGUGAAAGGGAAAGGAGAUUUUUUUCAUUUUUUAGAAAAUUAAUGUAGAGAAAAUUAAAGAACGUGAUUAAAAAAUGCUAUUAUUUAAUAAUAAUAAAAGAUUGAAGGUAUAAUGUUACUUAUUGUUAAUGGAUUCUUCAUUAUAUUCGAGACGAAAUAAAUUCUUCCAUUUUUUUGACGAAUUUCCAUGUGAUUAUUUAUACUGAUUAUUAUUUAGACAAAAACACAUCAUAUUAUUUAUCUAAACGAUACGUUUUUAUAUUGUCUUAUAUAUGUACAAUGUAAAAUGAACUGAUACGAUAUGAUAUUUUGGCGGAAACAUGUUGAUAUUUUGCUUAAUAUAAUAGCGACAUUAUAUUAUCCCUAUUGCUGUUGCUACAUUAGAUACAUCACGUGACACAAUAGAACGCUCAGCAUUGGUGGAAGCCUGAUCACGUGACCUUUAUCUAAUUCAGUAAUACCCAUGAGAAUAAUGUGUGUCGUGUAUUAUCCUUUCAUGGAAAUUCGCAAGAGGAAAAUUGAGCUAUAUUUAGUAAUAAAGGGGACAGAAUACUAUUUUCAUUCUAAUCAUAGUUUCAGAUUUUCAGUAUGUUUUAUUUUUAUUCGAAAAGAUAAUUAGUUUCCCUUAUAUUUGAAAAAUUAUCAAACUUGAUUUGAAGAAAGAUAUUUUCAUAUUCUUCUUUGAUCAUAAUUUAUGAAUCGCUCGGUAUAUUCAUUCAUCUUGUGAAAAACAUUCAAAACGUAUUUAAUACAUACUUGCAUAAAAAUCCUAUUAAUGUAGUGAUAAAAAAUAAGCAAACGGAUAUUUUAAAUGGCAUCCUCAUUCCCGACCCAGGAAAAGCGUAUCGAAUCGGAAACAGAUUGCAUCGAGGAUAGAGUUUCCAUUCUUCGCCUGGAGAAAGAUCUGAUAAUCGGUAUUAACACGGGUCGGAUCGUAUCUGUCUCGAUACAUCCAAUGGAUACAAAGUUGGUGUAGAUGCGAUAGUUAUUAUGGAAAUCAGAAUAUUAUUCGUAAUUGAGGAAGUGGCUCAUUUUCUCGAACGAUCGAAGAAAUUGAUCUGUGAUUAGUAUUGUACACGUGGUUCUUCUUUAAAAAAAAUCGUAUUGCAGCGAAAAAAUUGGAAUUAAAAAUACUUAUAAUUUUGAGGUUAUAUGUACGUACUUAUAUAUUUAUUUUAUUCUUGGAGUUCAUAAUUGGAGAAUCUAUAAUUCAUAAGAUUCGAAUUUUUAUUAAUCAAAUCUCUCUAACUAGAUAAUUUCGAAAAAUCGAAAUCUUCUUAAUCUCUUUUUGAAUUAUAAAUUAUCGAAUCUCGUUAUCGAAGUUUGAUUGAAGUGAUACAACAAUAUAAAACAAUUACACGACACAUAUUCCAAUCACGAAGGAUCACAUAAAAUAUAACUUCAUCAAAUAAUAAAACAAGAACUACAAUAAAAUUCCAGAUGCUCGUAAACAUUGGUUUAUAGUUUUUCCCAGGACUUAGGUCGGGUGAGACCUUUGGUAUCCUUUUAUGGCCACACUAUUAUCAUGGAAUCUUGUAAAUGUUUGAACAACCAUCCCAAAGAAGUUUUAUCAUGUUGCGGCAGCAUCGCGUUGUACAUGGAACGUUUUAGUAACCAGAGACACAAAAUAAUUCACUUGAAUUCAUAAGAAAUGCACUGCCGAUAUACUCGGAACACUGGUUUAUCGGUCGGUCUGGUUCAUUAAUCUUUUACAUUUGGAAAGAUCGUUUGGCGAUUCAAUGAAUAAGCGACCUAAUGAAUUUCUUAAUUAAGAGACUUUUGUAUCUAAUUGAUUUUUGCCAAAGAUGAAAGACAAGAAUUUUUAAAGAUGAAAUUAUAGAAAAAAAAUUGUGAAAAAAUUGCUAUUUGCGGAUCAAUGAAUAAUUGAUAAUAUUUUAAACCUAAGAUUUUUAACUAAUUGUUAGAUUUGUAUUUUAGAUAAUUGGAAAUUUCUAAUCUCUAUUUUAACGUAUUAGUUUAAUAUAU
rnacentral:lncRNA from 1 species